CUAAGUGAUACCAACAAAUGCUUCUUCAUAUGCAGAUAAAGAAGAAUUCACAGAUUAAGGCGGAAGCCAAGGCUCAUCACUAAACCAACUCUUCUCAAUAAGAAUGUGAAGCCAAGUGAUUGUUGCCUCUAAAUGUAGCUGUUUCAUCCUUAAAUCUAUAUCUCCCUCGGCGACGUUUUGUCGAUUUUUGUGUUUUUGAUGAAUCAAAAUCUUUUGUCUGACAAAGCAAUCGUAUACCAUUUUGGUUUAAACCUGAGCUCCUCUUUGGUACUUUGCUAUUCAAUAAACACCAUCUUUUUAUAAACCAGAUUGAUGAUAAAAUAUAUAUUUUUUCCACUGAAGAAAAAAAAAAAAAAAAAAUCUGCCGUGACAUAGCGUUAAAGUAAGCAAUUUGCUAUCCAGGGCGACCAAUGUAGUCAUUGCUUUGUGGCAAGAACACGGUGUGUUCGACCUGCAAGGUCGUGGCUUCGAACAUUGGACACACACACAUCCUCUGUCUCUCACUCUCUCUGCUUCUAACAAAGUGAGAUUUCUCACAUAAUAGAGGCAUUCCUAAAUGCCUUUUUUUUUUCUUCUAUUUCAUUCUCUACAAUUUAUAAGUUAUAUGAACUUAAUAAUAUAGAAACCUAAAUGUUUGCACCCAAAAAACAAAAUGAAUUGAAUCAGUCAUUAUGUUUAGAAGACUAAUUAAAGGGGUAUAAGAGGAGUAUCUUCUUUGUAAAAUCAAUUUAUAAGUUAUAUGAACUUAAUAAUAUAGAAACCUAAAUGUUUGCACCCAAAAAACAAAAUGAAUUGAAUCAGUCAUUAUGUUUAGAAGACUAAUUAAGGGUAUAAGAGGAGUAUCUUCUUUGUAAAAUCUAUUUUGGAUAAUAAUAAAAAAAAAAAUCUAUUUUGGAUAUAUGGCGUUCUAUUUAUCAUUUAUAUUCCAAUUUUGAAACUUUAAGCUCGCUCUCCAUAUAAUAUUCACAACUAUGAGUCUAUGACCAUGAACACUACACUAAAUCACUAAUACUAUUACUAUACUAUAAAGCUAUAAUAUUCAUCAACACCAUAGACUUUUAAUGGGAGUCAUGGGGCACGUAGUUAUCGAUUAAUUUCAUUGUUGGUGCUUUCUUCAUUGGACGGAUGAUAACUUAAAGAAUAAACUUGUAUGCUUUUUCAACAUUUUAAAAUAAAUAUCAUUUCAAGUGUUUUUGUGGUCCAUUGGCAAUCAUCAACUUGGACGUGUAGUAAGUCCCUUAUAUAUAACUAAUAUAAGUUUUGGAUUUUUUUUUUUUGUCAACCUAUAAGUUUUGGAUUUAAAUUACUAAAAUGGUAAAGAAAUAUAAUAUUUACUAUUAAUAGAAAACAAAAUAUAUAUAUUUUUAUACAAUGAGGAUAUCAUAUAAGUCUUAAUCCUGAGUUAAAUCCUCAAUUCCUAUGUUUUUUUUGUCAUAACUUGAACAAAACAUAAUUUUUUCAAAAAAAAAAAACUUGAACAAAACAUAUCCUUUCGACCGAAAAAAGGAACAUAAACAAAUUCUUAGGAUUGAAGUUUUUCAUAUCAAUUAUAACAUAACUUAUGGCAUCUUUUAAUUAUGUUUGUUGAGAUCAAUCACAUAAUUUUAGUGAAUCAUAUUUGUCGUGCUAUUAUCCUAUCCUUAUGCAAAUUUGGUAUCCUUUUUUUUUUGUUAUUUACGUAAUUAUAUUUUUCGCUUGAUAAGCUUUUCAUUUUAUUUCGCAUUUAUGAAAUAGUUCAUUGUUUUGUCUUCAAUAAGUAAACAGUAUAAUAAUUUAACGUAUUCUUAAUUUCAAAUUCAAAGCAACGCGACCUACCCUCAGGUCUCAAAACGCACGUUCACCAAUAUAAAGUGGCACUUUCGUAAAUAACAUUAAGAAAAACAAAUUAAAACAGUUUUGUAAUAAGAUCAAUAAUACAUUAUUCGAUGACUCAGAUUAGCCAUUUAGGCUUUGGUCUUAUUUCUUUUUUUUUUGUUGCCAACAAUUAAGCUCAGGCUUACGAAAGUGAUUGUCUGAUUGACGUUUCCUUUCUUUCUUUUUUUGGUCCCUGAUAACACCUUUGAGUUUGAGACUUUGAGGUAUAUCUAUUAUGUCUUCAUUUGAAUCUUUUUUUUUUUUAGUGAUUACCAAUGUAAUAAAAGUCUGGUUUGUUUUUUUUUUUAACUUUUCCCGUUAUUCGAUAACAGUUUAUAAAGUUUUAUCGUGUUUUUUUAACAAACUUCUCAGCUCAAGAACUCGAAAGAGUAAAGUAGGAGAGAGAGUGAUUAAGAGAGAUAAACCAAUUUUCUCAUUAAUUCUGUAAAGUAUAAAAAUGUUGGUUUAUAUACUUCUAACAACUGCUAACAUAAGCCUAUUUACAUUAUAUGCUAACAUAAGCCUAUAGUAUACUCAGCUAACAUACAUUGCAGUGGGGAAUUUUCCGCAAUGGGCGAAAGCCUAGUUCAUACCAUCCAUCCAUAGUGUUUUGAUCUAAGAUUUCAAUUCUUCCAUGGCAUAUUGUUCCAUGGAGGAGAGUGAAAAUACUCAUGAUACACCCCCGCAAGCCUUUGAAUCCGAAUAUGGUGAAGGAGAAUAAAGGCUUGACAUAGACAUGCGACUGAGUAAAGAGUUAAAUGGACCUGGAUGCAGCAGUUUAGUGAGAAUAUCUGCUAGCUGGUUAUCUGUUGAAACAUGAAGAGCUCUUAUCGUUCCCAACUUGAUUUGGUCUCUAAUAGUAUGUCAGUCUAUCUCUAUGUGUUUCGUGCGCUCGUGAAACACAGGAUUCGUUGCAAUGUAGAUAGCUGACUUGUUAUCACAGAAUAGCUUGGUAGUACUUGUAACUUUGACUCGAAAAUCUACAAGUAGUUGAUAUAACCACAAAAUCUCCCUUGUAACAUCAGCCAAGCUUCUAUAUUCAGCUUCAGUACUACUUCGACUAACCACCUGUUGCUUCUUGGACUUCCAACAUAUCAAUGAAGUACCAAGAUAUACACAAUACCCAGAGACUGAGCGUCUUGUGUCAAGACAAGUACCCCAAUCCGCAUCAGCAAAUGCAUUUAAACAUAAGUCAGUUUCAACACUCUGAGAGCAGCUUGCAUGUGUGUAUCCGUAGGAAAUUGAAUAAACUGACUCAACUUAUGCACUGCAUAAGUGAUAUCUGGUCGUGUUAUUCACUUUUCUUUUCUUGCAACAUGAAAUAAUUAAUUACAAAAUAUCCAUCACCACAAAUACAAAGCAUUGAAGUGUGACGGUGUUGUUUAAACACUUUGAAGUUUGGACACAGACCAUUAUCACACAAGUGGACCUUUUUUAUAUAUUUAUUUCGGAUCCACUUGUUAGACAAAAUAAAAUUUACACUGAUUACAAAAUAACAAUUUUUUUGUUAACCUUUUCACAGCAUGAAAAAAAAAACAUUUAUGUAAUUAGUACUUUUGGAUCGUUUGUUUUCAUGCUUUCUCUACAGAUUUGAGUUUUUUUUUUUUUUUUUUUUUUUUUUUUUUUUUUUUUAAAUAGAGAAGGUCAUGCGUUUACAACUAUUUUUAACUUUAAAUUUUAAAUUAGUAGCAACUUUAACAAAUUGUUAGCAGUUCUAAUUGCAUAGAUUCUAUUUGAAGACUACAAACUUUUUAAAAAGAGGUCAUAGUCAAAACAAAAAACACCACAUUUGGUAUUAGCCAGAUAUUAGCCCAAUUAACAUUUUAGUAGAUUUAAUACUAUUUGUUUUAUCGUUCUCUUUUUUUUUUAUAAAUAAAAUCCAUGUAAGAAAAUCGGUAGAUUCAAAGCAUUUCAUGUAAUUUUUGUUUUUUGUCAAACGCAUCUCAUGUAAUUAAGUACUCAUCUUAAGCAAAUUUUCAACAUGAAAAAAUUGAACGUUUAACAAUAUAAUGAGUAGUUGGAACUUGAAUUGGAAACUCAACAACUCAAAUUCCAAGAAUUGCUUGGAUAAGUAAAAAUCUGGCAAGAAACGUAUUCUAUUUUUGUAACGUAGAAAAUUAGAAAAAAAUAUAUUUUGUCAACAAACAAAAUUAGAAAAAUAAUAAAAGCAAAAAACCGUGGUUAAGUUUGGUUAAGUUAAUCUAAACCAGAGUGGUUAAAAGCAAAACGACAAAGCAAUUUGGCUUCUUAAAAACCCGCCCAUGGAGAAGAAAGCCCUCACGCACCUCUAAACCACAAAGAGAGAAGAGAGAAGAGAGAAUCAUUGAAACGAAACAAUGGCCGUCUCAUCAUUCCAGUGCCCUACGAUCUUCUCCUCAUCCUCAAUCUCCGGCUUUCAAUGCCGUUCUGAUCCAGAUCUCGUCGGUUCUCCCGUCGGUGGAUCAUCUCGCCGCCGUGUCAAUGCCACCGCCGGGAUUUCUUCCUCAUUCACCGGAGACGGUGGAUUAUCCUCCAGGAUCUUGAGAUUUCCUCCUAAUUUCGUCCGUCAGCUGAGUAUUAAAGCCCGUAGAAACUGUAGCAACAUCGGUGUUGCACAGAUCGUGGCUGCUAAGUGGUCCAACAACCCUUCCUCCGGGUUACCUUCGGCGGCGGCGGCGGCUGCUGCCUCGUCUGCAUCUGCGGUUUCUUCCGCCGCAUCUGCAGCCACAGCCUCGUCCGCCGCCGCCGCCCCUGAGGCUGCCGCUCCUCCCGUCGUCGUGCUGAAAAGCGUCGAUGAGGAGGUUGUGGUGGCCAAGGAGGGGAUUAGGGAGAAGAUAGGUAGUGUACAGUUGACGGAUUCCAAACAUUCAUUCUUGAGCUCCGAUGGGAGCCUUACUGUUCAUGCCGGUACCUCCUAGAUCCAUUUUCAAUCAUUUCUCCUUGUUUCCUUUUUUCAUAUCUGAAUUUGUUGUUGGAGAUUGAUAAAUUGGGUUUUGAUGAUGAUAUAUACACAGGUGAAAGAUUAGGUCGUGGUAUAGUGACGGAUGCUAUCACUACUCCUGUAGUGAACACAUCUGCCUAUUUCUUCAAGAAAACUGCUGAGCUUAUUGACUUCAAGGUUCGUUGAUUCAGUCUCUAUCUUUUCAUGGAUUAGAAUAACACUAAGAUUGAAUGAAUCUGUUGAAUUAUUGUAGGAGAAAAGGAGUGUGAGUUUCGAGUAUGGUCGUUAUGGUAACCCUACGACUGUGGUACUUGAAGAGAAGAUAAGGUUAUUAUAUUAUCUUAAUAUAAUUACACUUGCCUUUCCUGGAAGAUUAUGUUGUUGAUGCUGUUUGAUUAAUAUAUUAAAUUAUUGUGUAGUGCACUUGAAGGGGCUGAAUCAACUUUGGUUAUGGCAUCUGGGAUGUGUGCAAGCACUGUUAUGCUUUUGGCAUUGGUUCCUGCCGGUGGACACAUUGUGACAACUACUGAUUGCUACAGGAAGACAAGGAUCUUCAUGGAGAAUUUUCUUCCUAAGUUGGGGAUCACUGUAAGAAGAACCCUCUGACACCGAGAUUUUUAAUUACAGUCUUCCUUUUUCCAAUUCCAGUUUUUCAACUUGAAUGGUUAACGUCAUGUUUGUCCAGGUCACUGUGAUUGAUCCUGCUGAUAUCGCAGGGCUUGAAGCUGCAGUGAAUGAGUUCAAGGUCAGUUCUCUAACAUAUUGUGGAUUAAUUUUCCUUUUUACACUUGGAAAGAGAGUAUGUUUCUCAAAUUUAUUUCCUCUUGUCUGGCAGGUUUCUCUGUUUUUCACGGAGUCCCCGACAAACCCAUUCCUUAGAUGUGUCGACAUUGAGCUAGUAUCAGAAAUAUGCCACAAAAGGGGAACUCUUGUUUGCAUUGAUGGCACCUUUGCAACACCUCUGAAUCAGAAAGCCCUUGCUCUUGGUGCUGACCUUGUCGUGCACUCUGCUACAAAGUACAUUGGAGGACACAAUGAUGUGAGUAAAAUAUGUUCCAUAUAUUGUAAAGCAUCUCAAAAGAGCACUCACUGGUUGUAUAGCUAUUGACAAAGAUUGUUUCUCAUUGGCUUAGGUUCUUGCUGGAUGCAUCUGUGGUUCACUGAAGUUGGUUUCAGAAAUUCGCAAUCUGCAUCAUGUGUUGGGAGGCACACUUAACCCAGUAAAUUACUUGACCGUCUCAUUUAUCUCCCUUAUGAUACCGUUAUUUCAUGAAUUCUCAUAAAAGGUUUGUUAACAGAAUGCUGCGUACCUAAUCAUCCGAGGCAUGAAGACAUUGCAUCUUCGUGUACAGCAACAGAAUUCGACCGCUUUUAGAAUGGCCGAAAUUUUAGAGGCACAUCCUAAGGUAUGCAAUAUCUCUUGUGUGUACUUUUUUGAGUAAAGUUCCUGACACGACCUUGUAAAUAUCGAUGCAACUUGAUAUGCAGGUGAGUCAUGUGUACUAUCCAGGCCUUGCAAGUCAUCCCGAACAUGAACUCGCCAAGCGACAAAUGACUGGUUUUGGAGGUGUGGUCAGUUUCGAGGUAAUGAUCAAUCACCAACCUAAUCUUUAUCUACUCCAGAUUUAGCAUCUGAUUAAUAGUAAGAUGAUCCUGAAAACUGUGAUUAUCUUUCUUGGAUAGAUUGAUGGAGACAUUGAAACAACAAUCAAGUUUGUGGAUUCUCUCAAGAUUCCUUACAUUGCACCAUCUUUCGGUGGCUGCGAAAGCAUUGUUGACCAACCUGCGAUCAUGUCCUACUGGUAUGUAUAUGCUUGACAAAAUCGAACAAAAUUCCGAUUUGUGGUUUUAACUAAAUAAUAAUUUGGGUGGUUUUGAUAAUAGGGAUCUGCCGCAAGAGGAGAGGCUAAAGUAUGGAAUCAAAGAUAACUUGGUUCGUUUCAGUUUUGGAGUAGAAGACUUUGAAGAUGUCAAAGCUGACAUUCUUCAAGCUCUCGAAGCCAUCUGAAAAUGAUAUACAUCACCCACAAACGCCGUCGUUUCUGUGUCUUUUAUUUAUCUCUCUUUGCUGUUUUCAGUCACCGUAAUAAUGAUGUCUUUGAACUAUUUGUUCCGCGACAUUUACGUUCCGAAAUAAUCGUGUACUAUUAUUAUUGUUUGUUGUGCUAUAGUAAAAUUCUAUUUAGUCCGUUUUAUGCCUUAAAGUGGUUAAAUUGGAUAAUAGGCCCCAUGAGAACGACCAGUGUGGCCAUGGCUUUGUGGUAAGAACACCUUGUGUUUGGAACUCAAGGUCAUGGCUUCAAAGUUCAAACAAUGGUCAUGUCUUCGCUUCUGCUUCUUCUUCUUCUUCAAAUUGUUUGAACAACAUUAAAGGCAUUCUUAAAUGCCUCGUCUUUUUUUCUUUCCUUUCAAUACGUAGUUCGAUUUGCAGAUCUCAGCAACAUAAUUUUUUAACCUCAUCGCUUCAAAGUUAAAACCAUGAAAAAGAGGAGUUUACAUAUCAUAGCAAGUCUCGUCCUUUGAUGAAUGUAAUCUCUGUUUGACGGCGUUAUUUGUUAAUAUGUCUUCGUUCAAUAUUGCGAACUUCUUUCUGGGAAACAAAGAGCAAAAUUGAAAAUCCAGAGAUUGAUUAUGUGCUCUUUUACUUUCUUAGACCUUAGUUAACUUCUUAAAUUUGAGCUUAGGAACUUCUUAAUGGGCCUUUUUGUAAGCCCAUUGAUAAAGACAAGACCCCCUCAACGUAAUUGUAUUAUUAUCUUCUUAAUUUGCUUUUAAAUUGACAUAAGAAGACUAAUUAUGAAUAAAACUUUUUAAUCCCUAAUUUCAAUUUAACUAGUAAAAUCCAUGUGUUGUCCAGCGGGUUAUCAACCAAGCCAAAGUUCCGGAUCCGGACCCAGUAAGCAAAAUUUACGAUUCUUUUUUUGAAUCCCAAUGCAAAAAAUUUGGAUAUUUUAAAUGCAAUGGAAAAAUCGAGAAAAAUGGUAUCGUGUCGCUUUAAGGACUUAUUUAUGUAUAUGGCCAGAGAGCUCAAACGAAGAUCACCGCCUCGACUGAUUCAUCUUUUCUCUUGGUAUUUUGAUCGGAAAGCUUCAGCCUUUUGGAAAAAUCGUCUCUUGAUUUUUAUUUGAUCCAGAUCAGAAAACGUUUGUUAGCUUGUAGAUUUUCUGGGUUUAUGGUAUUACUAUCACUUUAGCCUAGUACUCCCCAUGUUUCUUCAUUCGAUUUCUUUUUUUUUUGUGUCAAUUUACGCAUAUCUGAUAUCUUCUUCGUGUUGCUCACAAAUUUUGCAGAAGAUUGCAUUGAUUUACAUUCUUGGCAGACUUCUCUUGGUCUAAUAGACUAAUACUAGGCUGAAACCAAACCUGUUGUUGGUUUACGAGGGCACAAUUUAGAGUUAUGCUUCUGUCAGCACUUUUAACUUCAGUGGGAAUCAAUCUUGGCCUCUGUUUUCUCUUCUUCACUUUGUAUUCAAUAUUGAGAAAGCAGCCUAGCAAUGUCACUGUAUACGGUCCACGGCUUGUUAAAGACGGCAAAUCUCAGCAGUCAAAUGAGUUCAACCUCGAGAGGCUUUUGCCUACAGCUGGUUGGGUCAAAAGAGCAUUGGAACCUACCAAUGAUGAAAUCCUCUCCAAUCUUGGCUUAGAUGCUUUGGUCUUCAUUCGUGUCUUUGUCUUCAGGUGAUUGAUUCAUUUAGAAUCUGCUUUAAGUUUGACUUUUUUUUUUGAACGAAUGAUGUGGGACUUCAACGCAUUUUAUUGGCAGUAUACGAGUGUUUAGCUUUGCUUCUGUGGUUGGGAUCUUUAUACUUCUUCCAGUGAAUUAUAUGGGCACCGAGUUUGAGGAGUUUUUCGACCUGCCAAAGAAGUCUAUGGAUAACUUCAGUAUUUCUAAUGUUAACGAUGGAUCAAAUAAGUAAGAAUUCGAAGCUAUGCCUAAACCGUUCUUAUUAUCCUUAACCAGUUUCUUAUGCUUGUAUGUGUUUCGCUUCAGGCUGUGGAUCCACUUUUGCGCAAUAUACAUCUUCACGGCAGUUGUUUGCUCUCUACUUUACUAUGUGAGAAGCCUUCUGUUUUGUCCUUUUAUUCUGCUUCUUUGCGCCUAUAUAAAAUAAUGUUUGGACUAUCUUUGCAGGAGCACAAGUACAUUUUAACAAAGCGGAUUGCUCAUCUUUAUUCAUCCAAGCCUCAGCCACAAGAAUUUACAGUUCUGGUCAGUGGCGUCCCUCUUGUAUCUGGGAACACUAUUAGUGAGACAGUAGAAAACUUUUUCAGGGAAUAUCAUUCUUCCUCGUAUCUUUCUCAUAUAGUUGUUCAUCGGACAGACAAGUUAAAAGUUCUCAUGGUAAGCUUCUACCUACUAAGGAUUCUAUAAGGCCUUACCUUUUUGAUAUUUCUGGAUUUCAUAUAUCUGUUUAUAUUUGUAGAAUGAUGCUGAGAAGCUGUACAAGAAGCUUACACGAGCAAAAUCCGGAAGCAUAUCUCGCCAGAAUUCUAGGCGGGUUGGGUUUUUAGGAAUGUUUGGGAAUAAUGUUGACGAUUACCAAAAGAAGCUUGAGAAGUUAGAAGGUGACAUGAGAUUGAAACAGUCUUUAUUAGCAGGAGAGGUGAGAAUUAGUCUUUGUGUGACUAAUUGCAUUCUUCAACAUAUUUAUUCCUUUUUUUUUGGCAAACCCUUUUAGGAAGUUCCAGCGGCUUUUGUUUCCUUUAGGACAAGACAUGGUGCUGCAAUAGCAACAAACAUUCAGCAAGGAAUAGAUCCAACACAAUGGCUAACUGAGGCAGCCCCGGAGCCUAAAGAUGUUCAUUGGCCAUUUUUCACUGCAUCGUUUGUGAGAAGAUGGAUCUCCAAUGUAGUGGUGCUCGUGGCUUUCGUAGCUCUUUUAAUCCUAUACAUUGUCCCUGUUGUAUUGGUUCAAGGUCUUGCUAAUCUUCACCAGUUAGAGACUUGGUUCCCUUUUCUAAAAGGCAUAUUAAAUAUGUAAGUAAAGCCGUAUUUUGAUAAAGAUGGUUCUUUGUUUCAGUUGAACAACUACAAAAUCUUUUUUUUUUUCUUAUGAAUGCAGGAAAAUCGUGAGUCAAGUGAUUACGGGAUAUCUUCCGAGUCUAAUUUUCCAGCUUUUCCUUCUUAUAGUACCACCCAUUAUGCUUCUACUUUCCUCAAUGCAAGGAUUCAUUUCUCAUAGCCAGAUCGAGAAAUCGGCAUGUAUCAAGCUUCUAAUCUUUACCGUAUGGAACAGUUUCUUUGCAAAUGUACUGUCCGGAUCUGCUCUUUAUCGUGUUAAUGUGUUCCUUGAACCUAAGACUAUUCCUCGUGUGCUUGCUGCAGCUGUGCCAGCACAGGUAAAGAACACAAAAUAUAGUAUUGAGGUUUCCGGAAUUUCUUUUUCUGACCAUGAGUCAUGUUUAAUCAUUGGUGCAGGCAUCGUUCUUUGUAUCUUAUGUUGUGACCUCUGGAUGGACUGGUUUAUCAUCAGAGAUCCUCCGUUUGGCUCCUCUUCUUUGGAGUUUUAUAACAAAACUUUUCGGCAAGGAAGAUGACAAAGAAUUUGAGGUUCCUUCAACUCCUUUCUGUCAAGAAAUCCCAAAGGUUCUAUUUUUUGGACUUCUCGGUAUAACGUACUUCUUCCUUUCGCCAUUGAUACUACCGUUCUUGUUGGUCUACUAUUGUCUUGGAUAUGUCAUCUACCGCAACCAGGUAACCUAACCAAUCUUAAUCUUCAGCUUUUCUAUGUAGAGAGUUUAUAAUAAUUUAAUAUCUAAAAUGAUUUCAAUUGGAUUCUCGUGGAGUCAAUUAUAACUCUGAUAAAGCCAUAUAGGAAUCUGCUCUGUAAUAUAUGAAUCAGCUACACAUAUUUUUGUUAUAUGGAAUCUCACUUUUAUCUUCUCUUUAUGUGUAUUCCCUUUUCUAGAUUCUAGAAUAGCAUCUUUAAAACCGAAAGUAUUGUUUUGGAGCUUAAGUCAUGACAUAAACGUUACAUCAAGAAUCCAUUUUCUCGUCACUUAAUUUGUUUUCUUCUUAAUGAAUUCACUGUAACUUGGUGAUAGUAAUAACUUCACCUUUUUGGUCCUUUUGUGCUGCAGCUCCUAAACGUAUAUGCGGCCAAGUAUGAAACUGGUGGAAAGUUUUGGCCAAUAGUACACAGCUACACUAUCUUCUCUUUGGUACUAAUGCACAUUAUUGCAGUCGGAUUAUUUGGGCUUAAAGAGCUUCCAGUGGCAUCUUCUUUAACAAUUCCCCUUCCGAUUCUGACCGUCCUUUUCAGCAUUUACUGCCAAAGACGGUUUUUACCAAAUUUCAAAUCUUAUCCUACCCAGGUAAAGGCUUUAGAGAAUCAGUUACUCAUAUUAUAACCAUCUUGAUCCAACGGUAGGAAUGUAGCUAGAUACUCUUUUAUCAGAACUAUUCCUAACCAAAACAAAACAAAACAAACAGAAUAUGAUGUAUAGUCCUUAGGAUUUAGCCUGGAUGAAGAACCUUUUGCAGUCUCAAAUAUGAAUCUUAGUAUAAAGUCUAUGCUUCUGUUAUAUUACAGCUUCUUCUCAUAACCUUAAUAUGGUGAUGUAUUGAUGUUUUUCCUUUCGCAGUGUCUAGUAAACAAAGACAAAGCAGACGAGAGAGAGCAAAACAUGUCUGAAUUCUAUUCGGAUCUCGUUGUUGCUUACCGAGAUCCUGCACUUCCGGCAUCACAGAACUCACGAGACAUCUCACCUUAAGAUCCUCCGCUUCUCCAUUCUCGUCAAGCCUGAGAAGAAACCUUUUUACUUGAGCUUUUGAAGUUUGCUUAUGUUGAUUGAAGCUGUUAGCUUUACUAUACCUGGUUCAAUACAUGAAAGAACACACUAAACCGGUUGUCUUGUACAUUGGGUCUUAACCGAGAAUCAACCGGUUUUUGUAUUAUAGUAUAUACUCUUUAGCUUGUGUAAAAAAAAAGGAAAGAGUUUAUGUCAGUGUUUCUCUAAACCGGUUUAAGACGGUACAAACCUUUUGAAAGUUGCCAAAACAAAACGUAAUGAUUUAAAGUAAAUUAUUUAGUAACCACAAGUGUCUUUUAGGCUUUUAGCUAAACAGAGAAUAUUUAGCAAAAAGAUGAAAGAUGAUGACUCGAUGCCACGUCCCUAUAGGGGUAAUUAUUGUAAUUAAGCGUAACUCUGGGGGUAAUUUAGUUAGAGAGUAACCCGUUUAUGGAAACAAAAAUCAAAUAAUUUCUUUUGUUACUUGCGCCUUAUAGGCUACAACAAGCAACGAGAGAGAGAGAAGAAGAAUCUCUGAAUAAUUUCUGGGUUUAAGCUGAUCUCUGGAUUUUCUUCAAUUUCGAAUCUCAAUUUUAAUCUUCUGAUAUUAUUUAGCUCAGAAAUUUUAGGGCUUUUUUUUGUGUGUCUUCUUGCUGCAUUUUUCGGCCUCCGCCUUUUUAAUUAUUGGUAAGUUUCGAUAUCUCUCAAUCUUCUAAUUUCGGAAAUAAAAAAUUCUGGCUUUUUAAUGUUAACUUGGCAAAUCGGGUGUGCUUGAAAUCACCAUUUCUGAAUCGGGUACGAGAGAUCCAUUACUAGUGCGAUUGAAUAUUAUUAGGGUUCUUAUUCCGAAUUGGGGAUAGUUUGAAAAUUGCUAUUUUAAGCUCUCUUCUUAGUGUUGCUUAAUUCUGGUUUUGGAUUGGAUAGAAAAGGGUUUACUCGAUUACCUACUAAAUUUUUGGUUUUUAUUCACUAUCCAGUUCUUAUUCUCGCUAGAUGAGUGAAAUUUAAUCUCCAAUUCUCUUUCUGCAACCGAUCCAUCUCAGUUUGUGUCUUGUGUAGUAGAUCUAAUACAACUCUUUUUUUGGCUUUGGCUCUUUUUUCGGUUUUAUACUUUUGUGUAGAAGAUGGAUGGAUCAGGCGGUAGAAGUGGGGUAGAAUCGAUACUACCAAAUUACAAGCUUGGGAGAACUCUUGGUAUUGGUUCCUUUGGUAGGGUGAAGAUAGCUGAGCAUGCAUUGACAGGACAUAAAGUUGCUAUCAAGAUCCUCAAUCGUCGCAAAAUCAAGAACAUGGAGAUGGAGGAGAAAGGUACAUUUUUGUGUAUCCUCCUUACUUAUCUUGAUUGAAAUUUGUUAUGGUUGUGACUUUACGAUGCUGUGGUAUAUAGUAGCUUAUUUUUCAUCUACCUUUAAUUGAACUUAUUUGGUGUUCGCUUCUGUUGUAUUUGAUGCAGUGAGGAGAGAGAUCAAAAUCUUGAGACUAUUUAUGCAUCCUCACAUCAUCCGUCUCUAUGAGGUUAUAGAGACUCCGACAGAUAUUUAUCUUGUCAUGGAGUAUGUGAACUCUGGUGAGCUAUUUGACUACAUUGUAGAGAAGGGUAGAUUGCAGGAGGAUGAGGCGAGGAACUUCUUUCAGCAGGUAUGUUUUUUUUUUUUAUCAACAGGUAACUUUCCAAGCAACCAUAUUAUUUGAAGUAUAUUUGAGAGCUAAAAAUUAGCUACUUGGCUUUGAUGUAGAUAAUAUCGGGAGUGGAAUACUGCCAUCGAAAUAUGGUGGUUCACAGAGACCUCAAGCCUGAAAAUUUGCUUUUGGACUCUAAAUGCAAUGUAAAGAUUGCUGAUUUUGGCCUGAGCAAUAUAAUGCGAGAUGGUCAUUUUUUGAAGACAAGUUGUGGAAGUCCAAAUUAUGCGGCUCCAGAGGUAAGUGCUUCAGCCUUCAGGUAUCUGAGGAGCACUAUAAGUAGGCUUGUUUCAAAUGAUAAGUUAUAAUCGAGAUCUGUAAAUUGUUUCAGGUAAUUUCGGGCAAAUUAUAUGCUGGACCUGAAGUAGAUGUCUGGAGCUGUGGUGUGAUACUCUACGCUCUUCUCUGUGGGACGCUUCCAUUUGAUGAUGAAAACAUUCCCAACCUUUUUAAGAAGAUUAAGGUACAGCAAACGACGUCCUGUUAAUCGACCUUUUUGUUCUCUUUCGUCUAUGUGAACUAAUUCUUGAAUUUGGUUUUUUUUAUUUCUUAUCACCGCUUGAGUGUAAUUUGUUUUCACUUUUUGUCCUUUAGGGAGGGAUAUAUACAUUACCUAGCCAUUUAUCUGCUGGUGCUAGAGAUUUGAUCCCCCGGAUGCUUGUAGUUGACCCCAUGAAACGAGUAUCCAUCCCUGAGAUCCGGCAACACCCUUGGUUCCAAGCUCACCUUCCGAGGUAUUUAGCUGUUCCUCCUCCAGAUACAGUGCAACAGGCAAAAAAGGUAAACCUUACGUAUCUACUCUAAUUUUCAUUAGAGAUUGUCUCUAUUCCCAUUUUCGAUAAAAGCGGCUUCAUUUGUAGAUUGACGAGGAGAUUCUCCAAGAAGUUAUCAAUAUGGGAUUUGACAGAAACCACCUCAUUGAAUCUCUCCGCAACCGGACCCAGAAUGAUGUAUGUGUUUCCCAGCCUCUUGUUCAUUUGCUGUUUCUUUUAUUUCAAAGGUAAAAAAUUCCAUCGGAAGGUCUUAAAUACUGAAUUGUUACCGACUGUCUUCCAGGGCACUGUGACAUACUAUCUGAUACUGGACAAUCGUUUCCGUGCCUCUAGUGGUUAUCUCGGGGCCGAGUUUCAAGAGACCAUGGUGGGUGUUUAUUGUCCCUUUCGACUGUAGCAAAAAGAUCUUUGAAGUAAUACUUGAAUGUUUAAUUUAAUUAGGAAGGUACUCCCCGUAUGCAUCCAGCAGAAAGUGUCGCUUCACCUGUUAGCCAUCGGCUUCCAGGAUUGAUGGAAUAUCAAGGAGUUGGCUUGAGAUCUCAAUACCCUGUUGAAAGAAAAUGGGCUCUUGGACUUCAGGUUUUGAUAUUUUCUAUACUUAUGCGAUAAAGACUUGAGCUUUUGAUAUAUACCUGACUAGUUUGAUCGAUAAUAUAAUCACGUGAUCCAACAGUCUCGGGCUCAUCCCCGUGAAAUAAUGACGGAAGUCCUGAAAGCCCUGCAAGAUUUGAAUGUGUGUUGGAAGAAGAUAGGGCACUACAACAUGAAGUGCAGAUGGGUUCCUAACAGCACAGAUGGUAUGCUCAGUAACUCGAUGCACGAUAGCAACUACUUUGGAGACGAGUCCAGCAUAAUAGAGAACGAUGCAGCUGUUAAGUCGCCAAAUGUUGUCAAGUUUGAAAUUCAGGUAAAUCCUCUUCUCCACUUCAUGAUAGCACACAUAUCGGUUUCCCGCGUACCACAUUGUUUCUGAUGUGAUUUCGAGUGAAAUAAAGCUUUGUAUUUUAGUGUCCAUGGCCAUAUAGAAACUGACAUAGAACUAGAGUCAAUCUCUUGAAUCUAACUAUCAAUCAAUACUUUCUGGGCUUGAUAAUGUUUGUUGUUGUUGAUGGUGAAACAGUUGUAUAAAACUCGGGACGACAAGUAUCUACUGGAUUUGCAGAGAGUACAAGGUCCUCAGUUCUUGUUCUUGGAUCUCUGUGCUGCUUUUCUUGCUCAGCUCCGAGUCCUCUGAAUACUAAACCGGACCUCUUCAAGAAUAAUCCCCGCUUCUUCUUUCUCUUUUCUUCUUCGUCUAAGAAAUAUUCAGUAAAGUUAGUUUUUUUUUUCUAUUCUUGUGCUAUACUUAAAUAACCUCUUUUUUAACUUAAAUGUAAGACGGGACAACUCGAGUAAAAAAAAAAAGAACAACUUUGUACAUACAUAGCUUGUGGUUCAUUAUGUCACAUAUUGAUUUUCGUUUUUGUUUUGAAACUCCAUAUUGAUUGGAAUCAAUACGUUAAUGGAGAGACUUUUGACAAAAUAAAAAAAACAAUAAACGAAAGAUAUGUAAAUUAGUCCUUGAAAAACAAUCAGUUUAUUAAACAAAUAGCAUUGUGUUUUAUCUUUGUUUUUCUAGUAUUUUUAUUAUCAAUGAAUCUUUAGUUUACCACUAUAAUCUUCGAUGCGUGAGCAGAUUACCCACCCAUCACCAUUGCGGUAUACGUCACUGAGUCAAAGCGUUUUUCCGAAAGUAGUUUAUAGUUUUGUUGGAUUACAAGUACAUUUAGUGUGUUUGCUUAAGAUAUACUUUUCUACAAUAGACAUUAGACAAUGUUAUAGCUUUGAAAUGUGGUCAAGAAAUGUAUUGAAAGUUCAAAUAUUUAUUUUGAAGACCUAUAGAUUUGAUCAUUUGAGAUAGUAAAUCCCCAAAUCUUUACUCAUGAUUGACAAUCCAGCAGCCAAAGCUAUAAGUUUAUGUAUAUUACGAUAUUCUUCAUAGUUUUCAUUUGUGUAAAUCUAUAUUGAAUUAAAAACAUCACCAACUACUUAAUUGAAAAAUAUCCUACAAAAAUAUGCAAUCAAGUAUUUAACUAAAUGUCUAAAUCUAAUUCUCGACUCUUCACUAUGCAUGUAGUUUACACGCUCGGCUGUGUUGAUCUUUAACUAAAAAUUAACUUUCAAAUUUUUGUUUUUGUUAUAAGCAUUCAUAUGUAGGCUUAGGGAUUAUCUUUUGGGUUAAUGAAAAGUUCCCUAUUUAAUUAAUUUAUUUAUGUAUAAUUUCAACUAACUAAUCUUCUCAUUAGGAAAGUUUGAAGAACACAUUUGUUACAUAUCCAAAAAACUAGGGGCUAUACAAAUUCAAAAACAAGCCCAAAAGAAUUUCAAAAGUUUCCAACGUGUGGUUUACCUACCAGUUAAUCUUCUCCUGCAAAAAAAAAGCACAUCAAAGUGUGUGAUAAACUCUCACAAAAAUACAAGGAAAUUUGUAAAAAAAAAUAUAUACAAAAUUAUAUUUUCGUAAACCUGAAAUUGAAUAAUUUCAUACUGACUUGGGCUUUUUUUUUAAUGAAAAAUUAAACAAAUAUGGACUACAAAUCAUGAUGGUAGGUAAAAAAAUGUAUAUAUCCUUGGCUGAAAAUUCUGGUAAUUUAAUUUGUUUUUCCCCAAAUUUUAACCUCUCUCUAUUCGUGGUGGUCUUCGAACACCAACUCUAACAUCACUUUCAGUCCUCCGUAAUAUUUCAUUCAUCCCAUUUGUUUGAAAAAUCUUCGGAUUCGCCCCAAGAUUUGUCAAAUCCUGCAAGAUUUUAUCAUAAUUAAAAUUGAAUUCCAACUACCGGUUUAGAUGGAACCGGGGUUCUAUUUGACUUACCGUAUCUUCUUCUGUUUUCUUGUGAUUCACGCCAGAGAACAACAACACAUCAGAAGAGUCCAGAGAAACGUGCGGCCUAAGAAACGGUUUGUCUUCGUUUAUCGUUAACCCGAAAGUGUUCUUAGCAAAAGCCAUGCUCAUCCCACUCACGUGGCUCGCAGAUCCUGCGGGCUGGUUAUAAGUCAGCGUUGAAGCUACGUCGUUUUCUUUCCUCUUCUUUGUCCCUGCCCAUGCGAACCCGCUCGCUGGUGCCGUGGUUUGAGACAAACUGUUGUACGGAAACUCGCUUCGUGUGGUCGCCUGAGACGUCUCUGACGGCGUCUGGACAGCAAUUUCCGUUUCGGCUUCCUUCUUUGUUUCCUGCAGAAAUAAUGAACAAAAUUACAAAUAUCGAACCGGGAAAUAGACUCAGCGGUUUAUUCCGGUACAUGAAACACCAAAAUACCUGGUGGGUUGGUAAUCUGCUGAGAUUUGUAGGCUCUUUGACUGUUCUACGAGAUUUACCCAAUUUCUUUGUUGCCAAGUUAUCUCUUUUCUUGAUACUAACUCUUCUCCUGCAUAACAAAGUUUCAAUCUCUCAACACAUGCAACCAAGUAUAUUUCUACAGAGCUGGCGAAAACCGAUUGAUUGAUACCUUCUUUGAAGUUCUUCGCGGUAUUUAGCAUCCAUUUCUUUAUUAGGAGGAUACUUAGGUAGUGUCGAUGGAUCGCAAACAUAAGGCUGUGUGUUAAAGUACUGAAGAACAACAACAAACCACAGAGAAGACAAAAGAGUUUCAGCUUAUUUGAUUAGAGUACAUGCUAGGGUUUCGUUUAGUAAGAUUUUUUCACCUCUGACAUAAGAGCAGAAGAAGCAGUUCCUCGUUUCUCAGGAUCAAUAGACAAUAGACUCUCCAAUAGAUUAAUCGCGGUUUUCGGAAACUCAUCAAAUCUUUCUCGCAGACAACCCUCAUAUUGAUGUUGUGGUCUAAACAUCUUAGUUUGAGGAUGAAGUUUGUUCUUUUCCCAGAAUUCUUCAUCUGGUGAUCCAGAGAGUUUAUAAAUCUUGUGAAGUUGUUCAAUCUACAGAGAAUUAACACAAAUAAAACAUUCAGAAAAAGGAGAGCAUUUUCUGUGGAAUGAAUAAUAUAAAUCUAUCAGUUUAGUCCCUUUCUCACCUCUGUUCUUCCUUUAAGAAGUGGUCUUCCGGUAAGAAUCUCCGCGAAAACACAACCAACACUCCAAAGAUCGACUGAUACGCUAUAACUUGUUGAACCCAUUAGAAGUUCUGGUGCACGGUACCAUAAUGUCACAACUCGACUCGUCAACUGAUUCUUGUUUCUUGGUGUUACAAUGUUGGCUAAUCCAAAAUCAGCUAGCUUUAAAACUCCUUUGUUAUUCACCAGAAUGUUUGCGGCUUUAAUGUCUCUGUGCAUAAUCCCUCGUAGAUGACAAUGUUCUACUCCCCACAGCAGUUGCUUCAUGUAGCAUUUGAUCUGAAAACGAAAUUAGGGUUUGUCAGAAUAAAGAAACAGAGUCACUUGCAGGAGAGGUCAGGGUUUUGUGUGUGCGUGUGUCUCUAUUGCCUGUGCCUCGGUGAAUUUGAUGUCGGGAGAUGAACAUAAGCCUUCGAGAUCGUGUUCCAUAUAAUCAAACACAAAGUACAUGCUGUUUGAAUUCCUUGAUGCGAUGAUCCCUUCGAGUUUCAUAAUGUUGGGAUGAUCUAAUCUUCUCAAAAUCAUGAUUUCUCUCGCUAUGAAUCUUAUAUUUUCUGUUUCAAAAUUUUGGACCCGUAUUUUCUUUAAAGCCAUAACUCGUCCCGUCGAUACCUCACAAGCCCGGAACACGUUGCUAUACGUCCCUUGCCCGAUCUAAGAUUUUCAAAGAAAUGUCAAAAUUUAAUUGUUGGGAUCAUAGAUAGGGUUGUUUCUUGUCUCGCAAGAAAAUGUAAUGACCUGUGGUUAGGAUUAUUUUACCUUCUCUCUUUUCUCGAAGUCUUCGGCACGUAGUGGAACCCACCCAUGAACGGCCUCGGGUGCGGCGGAGCUGAGCCAGGAGGGCCAACCAGCCGCCACCUGCUCUGCCUCUACAUUGCUGUGCGGCAAGCCCGAUCUCAGGCUAACACUGGUCGUCCUCGAUCUUGGAGCAUCAUCGUCAUUGUUACGAUGUUUUUUCGGAGAUGAGUUGACGACACGGCGGUGAGAUGGUGGACCGGGAAGAACAUGGCGGUUAUGAUGAUCUUGGGGAUGACUUCGGUGAACGGUGGUGUCCAAGCGACGGCGGAGAGGGCGUGGAGGACCCACCGGAGAAGAAUGCUUGGAGUUGAAGCAACCCAUAAUAAAUUAAUUGUCAGAGGAGAGUUUCCGGGCGGCGUGAGUAUCGACCCGGGUCGGGUAAACGGGUCCAACGCAGGGAGGGCAAUCCCCGCAUUAGACCAUAGAGAAACGAAAAUAAAGGAGAAAAAAAACAAAAAAUUGAAGAAAAAUAGUUUUUGUUGUAAAAUAGAGAAGAGAACCGAAUCGAGAGAGAGAUAAUCACGGACAAUUCGACAAUCCUCCUUAAACGUUGGAAGAGAAAAGAGACAAGAAACCAAAUAUUUUUCUUUUGUAAUUUAAAAUAGAUUUAUCUUAUACACUGACAAAAAACGAAAAUAUUUUACUUAAUUUUGAAGGGAAAAAAACAGCAAUGAAAAAAUAAUCUAUAUGUUACACUGAUUAGAUACAAAAUAAUAAAUUCAUAAUUUAAGAAGAAGAAAAAAAAAACAAAUUUCUUUCUUUAGUCAAAAGCAUGCACUCAAUUCACAUCACACAUGUUAUACAAGUCAUCAAUAUGUAGUAGCCCGGUUCAGAAUCAAUCACCAAGCGGCUAAACCAAUCCUAAAUAAUCAAUCUCGAAAUCUUCGGUUUUAAAGUCAAAUUGUGAUUUUCUCUUCUUUCAACCUCAAAAGAACCGGAGAUUGGCCAGUGUUAUUAUUGUUACCAAAACUCAUAUGUUGUUGCAUAUUGUUCCCCGACAUUGAUCUCAUACGAUGGUGGUCAGACGUCCCCGCCGCAGCUGCGGUACCGUUUCUAGCGGCAGGGACAUCGUGGUUGUGUUUACCUUCGUAAGUUGUAAUCACAGCCUUAGCAUCCGUUGAAGCUCUCUCUACAUGUUUACGGACUGUACAAUUUGGCGUUGUACAUUUAUAAUAGCUCCUAAUAUUACCAAAACAAAACGAGUAUUAAAACAAAAUUAAUGUGAAAUAAUGUAUACAAUAAUCAAAAUUAUUUCUCUAUAGCUAGAUUCAAUAAGCGCAACCCUAAGUAUUAGUACCUCGGAUGGGGAUUUCCUUUGACAACUUUUUGUCCGUACUUGCGCCAUCUAUAGCCAUCAUCGAGAAGAUCGACUUCACUUUUUGUCUGAACGAUAAUCUUAGGCUCAGUCACCGUCCGGUGAGUCGUCGACACACCGUCUAUUUUUCUAUAAUCCCAAUAUUAAAUAUUUAAUUGGAAAUGCCAUGAACAUUAUACUAUGUAUAAUAUAUUAAUCACAUGCACAAUUCUACUAUACCUUAUCUUUGAAGCCGGAAAAUCAUCGUCGUCAUCAUCAUCAUUGUUAUCCUCUUCAUGAUCCUUACCAUAACCACUAUCAUCACUAGAUUCCAUCAUUUGCCCUGCACCACCAACGAAAUGAAUAUCACCAACCUCAGUGGAAUCUCUGCCUCCACCGCCACGGCGAUUCUGAGGCCUCUCGUGAUCAUGUUGACCCUUGUAAAUUAUCUGAGUGAUCUGUCCAUCCGAUGACCGUUCAACUUUCUUCUUAACCGGACAGUUAACAUGUGUACAUUUGUAAUAACUCCUUGGAUAUUCACACCCUUUGAUCGGCUUCUGUCCGUACUUCCUCCAGUUAUAACCGUCAUCCGCCGGUUUAUCAACAUUCACCACGUUAUACGACCGGUUAUUAUUGUUAUUAUUCCCCGGAUUAUUGUAGUGGUUUCUAGCUCUUUGAUCGGCUUGCGUCGACACUUCGAAUGAUUGACGGCCAUGGACGGCGGUGGAUGUAGAUGGCGGCAUAUGAUGAGGAAAUGUGUCUGGUCGUGGUGGACCUGGUGGUUGCUGUUGCGGCUGUGGCUGCGAGUGGACAAAGCCGGUCUGGGCUGGCGCCUGCAGCAUUUAAUAUCAUACGAAUCGAUUUAGUCUAUACUAAUACGAAAAAGGAAAUUUAUAUUAAAAAAAAUGCUGGUUUGAUACUACUAACAAUGUCCAAACAAGGUUGUAGCUAGUGUGGCUGAAAAAAAAAGAAAACAAGGUUGUAGUGUAUUGAUUUAUACUAUUGGUGCCGCAUUUUUCCAAGUAUUAGACGAUUGAGUGUACGAGUUUUAAAAUAGACCAUGAUAUUUUGUUAAGAACUAAGUAAAUGUGAAGUAUGAAUAUAUUUAGUAAUUGGAUCAUAUAUACACAUACAACUCUAGAUUGGUGAAUUUUUUUUUCCCCUUUUCUGUGUUGUUCUAUUGCUAACGACUGUGACUAUCAAUAAACUCUACAAAAAAUUUCUUUAGCAAAAUUCAAUUGGGUUGAGGUUUUUUUUUUGGAACAAUAAUAGGGUUUAGUAAAGCCUUUAUUAAUUAAUCAAGGAUCAUAAAGAAUUAAUAACCUGAGGAGGAAAGAACAUGGGAGAGGUGAGAAGACUAGAAGGGCUGAAACCAGAAGGGAUUGUAAACAUAGGACCUCCUCCGGCGAACAUCCCCGCCGUUGAACGUCCUCCGCCACCAGGAGAAACCGACAUAGCUCCGGCAAGAAGCUGAGAAAACGACGUUGUCCGUUGGUUAUCCGGCGUCAAGACGUCAGGGAAGUUGUCAACGAACAACGACGAGACAAAAGAAAGUGGUCCUGGGCUCAGACUAAGCCCAUCUCCACCGCCAAAGAAAUACGCCGCCGUUUCGAUCGCAGGAGGUCUUUGGGGAACUGUAAUCGUGGGUCUUGUUGGCGCCACUAACGUCGUCGUUCUUAUCGAAGAUACAUCGUCUUCAACCGCCAUUUUCUGAUAUUAAUCUCAACCUUUGUAGAUCUCUCUAGAUAUGGAUAUUACUGUGUGUAUAUAUAUAGAGAGAAACAAAGAGACAAGAGUCUUCUGUUUCAAUGUCUGAUUUUCUUAGAUCGAUUUCGUGCAGCCUUGACAUUUGUGUUCAAAAGUCUACGGGCUAAACAUGGAAUUUCUUUAAUAACAAUAUUAUUACUAAUUUAUUGUGGUCCAAUCUCCCUGUUCCUAAUUUCGCAUUUAAGCUAUUUUUUAUUAGUCUCUUAUGAAAAAUAAUUCAACUUGCAUCUUUUAUUAUUAAAUUAUUUGUUUAACAGGUUGAUGGAAUACCCAAAUUUUUGGUGUUUAACUUGUAAAAGUCACCUUAGAUGCUAUUUGUACAUUAACAUAUAGUAAAUUUUGUGGACCGACAAUAUAUAUUAGGAUGUUAACUAGACUUUUUCAGUUUUUCUUCUUGUAAAGUUGAAGUUAAUUAUAUUUGAGUGAACCAUAUUCAAUACUUUAUUUAUAUUGGCCAUGUUCUUUUCACAAUCGUGCGACUCUCAUCAGCGACCAAUUUUUUAAAACUGAGUUUUUUUUGUUUUUAUUUUAUAUCUUGUAAUUAUGAGUCUUUUUAAAGGCAUAAAUGUAAAUUUAAUAAACUCCUAAUUAAACAAUAUUUUUCUGUUGAAGAAGAUGAUAAAAUUGCAGAGAUCUGUAAACCUCGAUGAUGGAAAUUUGAAACCUAGAGAUAAUCGCUUUUUGAAAUUAAGGGUUGGGUUGUGUCGCCGUUUUUUCCGGCGACUGUAAAAUUUCACGUCGUAGCGACAGAAAAUAUAAGAGACGAAGAAGAGAUGAAAAAAACUUAAAAGAUAAUUGAGGUGACAAAUCAGUCGCACAGUGGGAAUCGCACGCUCUUGAAAAGAACAGGGCCAAUCAAAUUCAGAAAAUUCAAGUUGAUGUCACGAGUGACGAGUCUUAUAAUCCAUGUUAAUCUCUCACACAUAUAAUACAACGAUAAUCAUCAGAAGAUACAAAUCUAGAUCAUAGUGAAAUACAAUAAUAUAGUUGCCGCACGACUUUAGUCAUCGAUACUGUAUGUUACACCGUUCGAAUCAUUAUGAGUAUUUUCCCUGUGACUAAACUGAAAUUUUGAAGCUGAAAAUUGUCAAAAGACUCAAAAUCGAAAUAUACUAGUAUAUCUGAUUAUACAGAUCUAAUCUCUGUGAUAUUAAAUGUCACAAUGAAUAAUAACGUAAUUCUGGUAAUAUUCGGGCAACGAUUUGCGUUUCAUUAAAUUAUGUUUUUCGGGUUUGCUGAAACAAAACAUAACUAGUACCUGCGUUGCAUGUUCUUCAGAAUGUUGAGAGAAUUAAAGGAAUCAACUUAAACUAAUUAACUGACAUUUGUUUUUGCAAUUAGUAUUUCUAUUUGAUUGUUUUUUGACACCUAAGGGACAGCCUAUUGAUACCUUAUUAAUAACGGAAAUUAUCAGUUCCAUUUUCUUAAAUCAUAUUCCCAUAUAUUUAUAAUUAAAUUUAUAAUUUGAUCGACAAUCAGAAUUUUGAUUUUAGUUUCACCCAAUAUGAAGUUAUUAUUGACGCAGCAGAAAAGGAAGCAAUCAAGUAUAUUGAAACUUUUUCCUGAAACUAAAUAAAAACAUUAACAAAGGUUUGACAUUUCUUGAUAUACCGUAUAUAUUACGGUAUCCAAAUGACUAAGACGUUUAGUUAAACUCAAGACGAGAAGGGUCAAGAAGAAUUGUAACCUGGUUUUAGAUAAUUUUAACAUAAAGAAAUUGAAAUCUAUGUUUGCAAGAAAAUAGUCAAAUUUAGAAAUAUAUCCUAAAACUGGGGUUAGAUCAUUUUAAUAUCUUAAACAUUUUGGUGUAUGAAGAAACAUGGGGAAACAAAAAUCUUAUGACUAAAAAAACCUUCAAGAGCUGUUUAUUUUGUCGGGACGUGUGGUUGACUUUUGGAUAAGGGUCAAGCUAUUAUCUAAUUAAUUUAGGCCCUUUACAUAGUCGAAAAUCUGAAAAGUACCACACGAACAAUCAUUUAAAAUUGAAAGUGAAUUCUUUUAUGGGUUUGAACUAUAAAAUUAAACAUCUUCAAAUGCUCAAAUCUCGUAGUCAGAUUAGUUUACAAUCACGUCAUUUUCGAUGUGAUGAACAAAUGAUACAAUUUAAACUGCCAGCUUUAGUCAAUAAACUAAAAUAGUCUAGCUAGCUGGUUAUUUUUAAUUGUUUUCUGGCUAUCUACGAAAUUUUUAAUUUAAUCCAUAAAAAAAAUCUAGGGUUUUGAUAGGUUUAGGUGUCUAAUCAUGGUGCCCACAGCUGUUUGAGAGAUGACUAUAUUAAACCCUAAUCAGGGUUAAAUGUAAUAUAUUAGUUUUGCAUAGUAGACUACUAGUAUUAGUGUAUUACUAACAGUUUGGAAGGAAAGAUGACAAAAAAAAAAAAAAACUGUUUGGAAGAAAGUACAUAUUAAGAGCCACAAAUAUUAUUUCUUCAAAAUAUAUAGGUGCACAACAAAAAGGGGAUGUUCUUCAAAAUCAACGUAAGAGACUUGAAUCAUGAUUUCAACAAUAUGUCUUAUGGAUUUGCAAUAUAUAUUGUCGAAAUCUAGACCAAAAUUUCUUAUCAUCAACAAAAUUAGUUACUCGCAAAAUAUUCAACACAUAUAAUCCUUUUUUUUUGGGUCAACUUAAACACAUACAUAAAGACGAAGGAAAAGGAUCAAAUAAGUAAAGAAGUAAGAAUACUAGUUUUUGGUGUUUCAUAUAGAAAGACCUUUGGUUUAUCCACAACUGAUUAUUUUUACCCAUUACACCAUCAAACGAAUGUGUACAUAGAUCGCAGAGAUAGUGUGGCCAUCCUUACGCAAAUAAAACUCGAAUUAAAAAUAAAUAAGAAAAUUAGCCAAGAAAAAUAAAUAAAACAAGUUGAGCAAAAAGGCGACUUGAAGAUGGAGAAAAGGGUGGUCGUUGAGAGGACACUAAAAGGAUAAACGUGUUCCCAAACAUCCUUUUGUCUUUGAUGUCAUGUGGCAAUGCGACCAACUUGCAACUUAUUAUAUCACCUACAUGACAAAAACUUCAAUUAUUGGAACAUUUUAGUUACUUUCUCAUUUCUCUUACAUUCGUAUAUUAUCUAAAGACCAUUCUCUGAUAAGUAUCGGUGUAUAUAUACCAUUUUCAUAAAAAUUUAACCAAGGUACUUUAAUUAAUUUGGAUUCGAAUCUAGCGGAAAUAAAACUACCACUUUCCAACUGAUUAGAAAUUUAGAAAACAAUCAGUUUAUUAUAGGUUCAUCAGCUGUUUGGGUUUGUCGAUAACGAAAUCUAGAUAUUUUUUUGAAUUUAGUUUGUGUAGAAGUGAGCAAUUUUUUUUUUUUUUUUUUACAGCAAAUUAAGCUAAUUCUUAUAUGUACGUGUGGAAUCUCAACAACUGAUAGAUCAAGUGUUAUAAAGAAAAUAUUUAUAUGAACGUGGAAAUAUGAUCAACUGAUAAAACAAGUGAAAUGUUCUAACAUUUCGUUUUCACUUUUCACACGUUUAUUUCAUAAAAAUGUCUAACCAUACCAAAAAUGUGUGGUUCAAGCAACUAGUGUUAAAUGAUCUUUCGGAUAAAUUUUGUACUAGUUAAUUAAGUGAAACAUCAGAUACUGUACAUAUAUUGUCGGUACCAUUGGCCAAAUUCAUCUGUAUUUGCAUUUAUUGAUUCUUGAAAUAAAUAUACAUAUUUUGUCAUCAAUCAAACAUACAUAUAUUAUAUCAUCUACAUGAACGUGUUGCAUAAUAGUGACAACUACCAAUUAUGGGUCCACAUUGAAAAAGGAUCUCUAACAUACAAAUCGAAGCCCAAUACGUAGGCCCAAUAAAGUUUUAAAAGAUUGUUCAAACAAUUAAAUUACAAUUUUUUAUUCAACAAUUGAUUUUUCCCUCCAACAAAAGCAAAAGCAUGAACAAUCUCCAAAGACACACACACACCCCAGAGUAGAAUGACUAAAAGGAUCCUACCAAAAAAAAAGAAUGACUAAAAGGAUCCAAGAAAGAACAAUACAUAAAAGAGUACUACUAAAACUAUAAUAGAGCUUCACUUUGCAAAGAUAUAAAUCGUUUCUCUUUAAAAGAAAUCAAGACAUAUUACCACAUCCUUAGUACCGCGUCCCCCAUUGUCCCAACCGCUGCGAAAACAGCUACCGGAAUAACAAACUGACUUGCAAAACCCGAGAGGGUAAAGGUUCUUGUUGCACUGUUCUUGAUAGGUGCUGCAGCUGGUGGAGGAGGCGGUUUCUCAACUAAAACAGCGAGCUUCAUACCGCCGUAACAUCCACCACCAUUACCACUAAUCAGAUAGUAAUGCCUUGUCACAUUAAGAUGAACCAAGUCCCUUCCAGCUCCACGACUCCAAUUAGCGAUCGGGUUAUUGGGAUUGCAGCUUAUGUAGUUGGUUUCGUUCACUUCUAUGACGUUGUAUUGGUUUCUCUCAUACACAAAAUCUGACGAGACAACAUGAGAAUUAAACACUAUACUAUAAGUCAACAAGGUUCAUGAUUCGAGUAUCUUACUGAAAAUACAAUCUUCAAACUAUUUAACAAUUUUCAAUGCUUUGAAAGAAGCAAUUUUAAUAAGAAAACAGAGUGUUGCACCAAAAAAAAAAAAGAAAAGAAAACAGAGCUAGUGAAGAAUCAAUCUAGUGGUCCUUUUUAAGACAGUCUCUGAUUGUGUCCGACAUAAUCUGGACUACACAAAGUUCUAAAAUUUCGAACGUAAGCGAAACCAUUCAUUUGCCAACAGAUCUAAAACAUCUAUCGUUAUAAAUCCGAGAGCCUUGUGAUAAGAGUAUCAGUGUAAAGAGAAAGAGUUAGAGAGAGCGUACAGAGCCAAUCGUCGAGGUAGAAAUGUUUGUCCUGAGCCCAAAUGGUAUAGUUGAUAUUAGGAUUCCAGAACUUGUUAUCGCCCACCGUCCACUUCUUCGCAGCCACCUCCGUCGCCGUCAGAAAAGCAAGCACCGCCGCCGCAACCAAAACCGCAAGUCUCGCCAUCGAUCAGUACUCUAGAAAAAGGAUGAGUCGUCGUCUUUUUCUGACUCUUUCUCUUCUGGCUCUAGAAAUAGCCGAUAUUGAUGGGUUUAUCGAAGUUAAAUCUGAGAGAUAAAAAUGUCUCUUUUUCAGGGAAAAGAUCUCUCUAGAUCCGUAAUUCCUUCGACUAACCUUCGAAUUUUUAUCUUUAAUUAAACCUCGAGGUUGACGAAAAGUGCAAGGUAAGCGUUAUGUAAUUAAGGCAAUUUCGUCUGUAAUAUUUUCUUUUUUAUUUUGGUCAUAUUUUCUUACCUUUUUUCCGGAAAUUAAUUUCCUUUUUUAGUCAUCCAGUUGGUCUUAAUUGCUUAAUUAUAAAGUCAGGAUUUAUUUCCUUAAAGAACAUAUUGAAAUACAAUGAAUUUAAAAGUGACAACGAUUCUUUUACUUUCAAUAGAAAUUGUGUUUAUUUGAUACAUUUUAAAGUUGUAACUAUAUUAUUAGCUCUUUAUAUUGUUGUAGCCGUUGGGGAAUUUCACAUUUUGAAUGCCUCGUCACAUAUGACAAGUAGCUUUUCAUGAUCUAUUAUUAUAAUCCAUCAUAGCUUCCACGCGCAAGCUUGAUUGUAACCACCGCCACAAAACUGGUAGAAUCCACAUAAAUCAGUAAUUUUGUUAAAAACAUAUCAAUUUUUUUUUUUAGAGAAAGUUCUCUAAUCUUCUACCGUUUCUUUUUAAUUUGGCCAAGAAUCUUUCUUAACUUGUUUUUUUCCCAUAUUAUUUUGACUUUUUCAAAAAUGAUAUAUACGGAGUUAACAUUUUGUGUCCACACAAUAUAUGUUGUAAUAUCCACGUAGGAUGAAGUAUCCUUUUAAACCCAUCCACGUGUCCAAACAUCAGCUUCUAAUUCCAUUGUACAAUAAAAAAAAAACCUUACCUGAAAAAAAAAAAAAAAUCGAACUCAACUGAGAAGCGAAGAAGAAAAUGGCGGCAGCGGCCAUGGCCCUUCAUCUCCCGAAACAUUCUUUGUUUCUUCCAAAACCCAAACUUCCAUUGGAUAAAAACCACAACUUUCUCGGUGGUUCAUUGAAUUUAGGUCGACCCAUGUCCUUAAACCGGGAAAUUAACAGUCCGAUGAUGGUCUCCGCUUCUUCGACGAGCAAGACCGUCGUUACUGAUGACGUAGACGCUGAUCGAAGUAAACGGUUUUAUAUAAACUUCACUGGCUUUCCUUUUCCUCUUGGUCCUUUCCUUAACCGGCGCACCAUCAGAACCGAGGUUAGCUUUUCUCCAAAUUUUUCAUAAGGGUUUGUUAAUUUGUCAUCUCUAAUUUCAGAAUCACAAGUUUAUGAAAAUCCUUCUCGAUUUUCAGAAAAUCUUGAAACUUGUUUGUUUGCAGGCGGUUAAAGGUUGCAUAUGGAUGUUUGAACAAGAACAAGCUUUAGGAUUUAGCAGUGUCUCCACGAAUAUACGAAUGACUAUCAUCAAACUAAAAUCUGGAGGUUUAUGGGUUCAUGCUCCUAUUGCUCCUACCAAAGAGUGUAUUCAGGUUCCCAUUUUUACCCCACCAAAUUGGAUUUUGUUCUUUAUGAUUACUAACUACCUCCAGAUUGAUAUAUCAUACUUUGUUGUCAUUUCUCUACUUGCAUUGAUAUUUGACCUCUUGGGGUUUGAUAAAGUUGUUGUAUUUGAUAAAAAGAGAAAGCCUUUUUGGUUGAGCUUGCAGAUGAUUGAACUCUAUUUGUUGUUUUGCUCUUUUAUUGUGGCAGCUUAUUAAGGAGUUGGAAGCUCCAGUUGAGUACAUUGUCCUUCCAACAUUUGCUUAUGAGCACAAGAUUUUUGUCGGUCCUUUUUCUAGAAAGUUCCCUAAGGCUCAAGUAUGGGUUGCACCAAGACAAUGGAGCUGGCCAUUGAACUUACCACUCGAGUUUUUUGGUAUAUUUCGUGCUAAAAUCAUUAAAGACGGGGACUUAUCUACGCCAUGGGCUGAAGAGAUUGAACAGAAAGUCCUAAGCUCCCCAGAAGUUGGUAUGUUCCUUAAGUAUUUCGAUCUGGUUUGGUUGAAAGAUUCGAAAAUCAUAUUUUCUUAUGGGGUAUCCAGGAAUUGGACCGUAUGUCGAAGUAGCGUUCUACCAUAAGCGUUCAAGAACCCUUUUAGUCACCGAUGCUGUGAUCUUCGUCCCGCGGAAACCGCCCUCGAGUAUCAGCAACGAAUCCUUGCUGGCCUCGGCUAAGAAUGGACUAGCUGUGAAGAUACUUAGCAAAGGAAAAGACGUACCCAAUGAUCCAGUGGUUGAUAAUCCGAACACCCGCCAAAAAGGUCAGUAGUUCUUAAAAAUCAAAUUCCCCUGUUAUUUGAUCAAUCAGAAGAAGAUCUUAGAUCUCAGUGGCCUCUGUUUUAAAACUUGCAGGGUGGGAAAGAAUGGUUCUACAAAUCCUAUUUCUUGGUCCCUCGAAUCUCUUGGAACCAAAUGCAAGCUUCGCACGAAUGUCACAGAAGCUGAUCGUUUCUCCCAUCGUAAAGACUUUGGUCUUUAGCAAAGUUCCUGAGAAGGUUCCCUAUUUCUGCAUCAUCUGUUUAAAUCUUUGUUUUGGUUCCAAAAGGGUUUGUUUUGAUUUGAUCAUCACUGAUGAUUCAGGUGAGGGAUUGGAUCGAUGAGAUAGCCCGGGACUGGAGAUUUAAAAGGAUAAUCCCAGCUCAUUUCGAAGCUCCAAUAAACGCAGGAAGAUCAGAGUUUCUAGCUGCGUUUGGGUUCCUAGAGGAUCUUCUAGGGGAAAGAUAUGUAACUCGUCCUUCGCUCUCUCUUCUUUUCACUUCGCUAAUGGGAAAAGCUGCGAGCUAUUUUCCUCCAGACGAUAUGAGAACUCUCUCUUCUCUUGAUCAGUUCUUAGUCUCUGUUGGGGCUGUGAAAAAGACAGUAUCCGGUAGAAAACGAAGAUGAUGGCAAAACAGAAAAAAAAAGAUUCAGCCUUGUGAUGAAAGAUAUAUAUAGUCAGAAACAAGUAAAAGCUUCCAUGUUUUGUUUACUAAAGUUUUCUUUGGGUAAGCAUUGUAUACUAAGGUUUUGCAGACAUUGCCUCCAACUAGAGGCGAUCCAUUGCAUUGAUGAUUUAACCAAGUCUAUUGCGGUGUUUGAAGACCAGGCUUACAAGACUUUACUCAAACCAAGUCUAAUCAAACUACAACUAACCACCAUUUAUUAACCGGUAUAUAAGAAUUGAGCUGAAUCACUCAACGCCAAACAAAUAACGUGCAGCUGAAUCCAACAAUUUCUUCUUGCUCCUUAGCUCAAAUCGACCUCGAAUUUUCCGUAACCAGCUGAUAACCGGUUUAGUUAAGAACUAAACCAAGUGUGAUAACCAGAUAGAGGAUAUCAGAACCAAUUUCAACAAGAGUUUUUAUAUUUGACGUCUUCAUUUUAGAUAAUUACAACAACAAGAAGAAAAAAAAUCAUCUCAUCUAUAUAGCGCUUAGGGUUUCAUUAUCGAGAUCUGAUAUUUGUUUUAGCAAUGGGACCGAGGAAAAAAAAAGCAAAUCGCCGGAGACAAGAGGAAGAAGAAGCAAACUGGUCGGCGCUAUGUCCGGACUUGCUGCGAUGUGUUUUCAAACGAUUGAGUUUCACAGCUCUUAAUCGAGCUAAAUCGGUAUGUUCUACGUGGCACUCUGCUUCCAGAGGCUGCGUCCCUAACCAAAAUCAGAUUCCAUGGCUGAUUCUCUUCCCUCACGAGGAGGAAUCCAACAAAAACAGUAGUAGUUGUGUGUUGUUCGUUCCGGAGGAUCAAGACAAAGUUUACACAAGUAAAGAUCUUGGUGUUGACUUUUCCCAGAGUCGUUGUCUGACGACUUGUGGUAGCUGGCUCUUGUUGUUGAAUCGUCGUCGGGAUCUCUACAUUCUCAACCCUUUAACUGGCGAGAGGAUUGAUCUAUCCAAUAACCAACAUUUACCAAGUGACUUAAGAUGCGACCAAGUUUGCUUUCGGAUAGACAACAAAACCAAAGAUUACCUAGUUGUAAUGUUGCAGUACUGUAGUGUGUUUACCAAGAAAGGAUAUAAGAAGUGGCACGACUUUCCCCACUUGGAUUGUUAUGGAGAUUUUGCCUACAAUCAAAAGGAUCAAAAGCUCUACGUUCAUUAUCCCAAUGAUAUUGUCAAUAUUUGGGAUUUAUCAGGAGAUAAUCCACACAAAGAUAGGUCUCUGUCUCUUGAUCCUUUUUAUAUCAAUCAUUAUGAUUUCCCCUCUUUUCUUAAUGAUAACGAAGAUGAACUUUACUGGGACAAGUUACGUGGCUUCGCGACACGCACUGCAGUCACAGUAUCCGGACAUGUUUUGAUGGUGUCAAGUAUAGUACAAGACUGCAAAACAUGGUAUUUUCGCAUCUACAAGACAAACUUGUAUGGCAACUGGGUGAAAGUCAAAUCUUUGGGCAAUGAAGCAUUGAUCUAUGAUAUGGGUAUCACUGUUGUCGCCAAUGGCAUCCCAGGGAUCAAAAGGAACUCUAUCUACUUCAGUGGCGUCGAUCAUGGCAGAGAUGAUCCACAUCACAUAUUUGUCUACGAUCUCACCACCCAAAAGAUGGAACCUUUGCCACAAUGCGCCUUCUCUACCAUACGAUUCUCUGAUGCUCGUUGGUUCUUCCCGUGCUAGUCGUCUACCUGCGCAACUUCAGGACAUAUCGCCUCUGUUCCUUUUAAUGUUUUAAGCUCGAUUUGCUUUAGACUUGUUUUAUUCGUUUGUUUUUUUUUGCUUUCAGUUCUAAAUCUUGAUGAUACAUUAUCAUUUUAUUCAUCUGUUGUUGAGAGUUUAGUCUCUUUGACGAUAAAAAGGGGUUUCAAGUCCAUUUUGUUCCCAAAGCAGAGGAACUACGAAACAGAGCUAAAAUGUCUUAAGAGGAACUGACUCAUUUACUACACCUUGAUGUAUUAUCUCCUUCAUUCUUGCAACAAGGAACAAGCUAUAGAAGAGCUUUGAUUUAAACCUUUUUAUAAAAAAAAAAU
rnacentral:lncRNA from 1 species